GACGAACGCUGGCGGCGUGCUUAACACAUGCAAGUCGAACGGUAAGGCCCUUCGGGGUACACGAGUGGCGAACGGGUGAGUAACACGUGGGUGAUCUGCCCUGCACUUCGGGAUAAGCCUGGGAAACUGGGUCUAAUACCGGAUAGGACCACUGCCUGCAUGGGUGGUGGUGGAAAGCUUUUGCGGUGUGGGAUGGGCCCGCGGCCUAUCAGCUUGUUGGUGGGGUGAUGGCCUACGAAGGCGACGACGGGUAGCCGGCCUGAGAGGGUGACCGGCCACACUGGGACUGAGAUACGGCCCAGACUCCUGCGGGAGGCAGCAGUGGGGAAUAUUGCACAAUGGGCGCAAGCCUGAUGCAGCGACGCCGCGUGAGGAUGACGGCCUUCGGGUUGUAAACCUCUUUCAGCGCCGACGAAGCGCAAGUGACGGUAGGUGCAGAAGAAGGACCGGCCAACUACGUGCCAGCAGCCGCCGUAA
rnacentral:rRNA from 1 species